CAAAAAAACACCAUAGUAUACUGUCGAAAAAAAAAAUGCGAUUUUUCAACAUGUUGUAAAAAUGAGCCGUAUGAUGAAAUAAUGUAGAGGAGGCCGUGAAAAGCACUCCAGAAUGGUUUUCUUUCAAAAAAAAAAAUCAUCAUGAAUUUUGGCGCAAAAAAACGCCAUAGUAUACUAUGUCGAAAUAAAAAUGAGAUUUUUCAACAUGUUGUAAUAAUGAGCCACAUGAUGAAAUAAUGUAGAGGAGGCCGUGAAACCCACUCCAGAAAUGUUUUCUUUGAAAAAAAAAAAAAAAUUUUGGCACAAAAAAACGCCACAGUAUACUAUGUCGAAAAAAAAAAUGCGAUUUUUCAACAUGUUGUAAAAAUGAGCCGUAUGAUGAAAUAAUGUAGAGGAGGCCGUGAAAAACACUCCAGAAUGGAUUUCUUUGAAAAAAAAAAAUCAUCAUGAAUUUUGGCGCAAAAAAACGCCUUACUAUACUAUGUCGAAAUAAAAAUGCGAUUUUUCAACAUGUAUUUGCUCUUUUUUCAAUUCAAUUCAAUUCAAUUUUAUUUAUAUAGCGCCAAUUACAGUCAAAUUGUCUCGAGACGCUUUACAGAACCCAUAUGCCUGACCCCCAGAGCAAGCCAAAAGGCGACAGUGGCAAGGAAAACACCCUUUUAACGGGGAAAAAAACCUCGAGCAGAACCCGGCUCUAAUGUGGGGGGACCCAUCUGCCUGCUGGCCGGGCGGGUUGAGAGGGACAGAAGAAGUAGAGAGGUAGAGAUAGAGGGGUAGAGGUAGAGACAGAGGGAUACAGAUAGAGGGGUAGAGAUAGAGAGGUGGGGGGGUGGGACACAAGGACCAUAAAACACAGCCACACAUCUGAAGCAUCCAGCAUCCAGCUCUGGGACCAGGGACACUCGGAGAAAGGACACAGAAAGAAACAGAGUGAAUGUAAUGCAAUAAUGGUAUAUGUAGUAAAUACAUAGGUAGUUAGAGAAGGGCUCAGUGCAUCAAGAGAGGUUCCCCAGCAGUCUAGGCCUAUAGCAGCAUAACUAAGGGCAAACUAAAGGGACGUCAAGAGGGGAAGUCAGUUUUGCAAAUGAACACACCAGCUCACCCCGUCAGGGUCCCCCAGUCAGCCCUAACUAUAAGCUUUGUCGAAAAGGAAGGUUUUAAGCCUGGUCUUAAAAGUAGAGAGGGUGUCCGCCUCCCGAACCCAAACUGGGAGCUGGUUCCACAGGAGAGGCGCCUGAUAACUGAAGGCUCUGCCUCCCAUUCUACUUUUAGAGAUUCUAGGAACAACAAGUAAGCCUGCAGUCUGAGAGCGAAGAGUUCUGCUAGGAUAAUAUGGUACUAUCAGGUCUUUAAGAUAUGAUGGAGAUUGGUUGUUAAGAGCUUUAUAUGUCAGAAGAAGGAUUUUGAAUUCUAUUCUAGAUUUAACAGGAAGCCAAUGAUUUUUUGAUUGUUUUAUUGUCUCUUCUGUUUAAUUUGAUCUUCUAAAGUUUAACUGGUUUCUUUUCAAAUGUUUUGUCUUUAGUUUGAUUCUUCUUAAAUGUUUAGUUUUGCUCUUUUCUCACCUUUUAUUCUUUUCUAAUGUCUGAUUUGAUUUCGAAAUGUUUUGACUUUUUAAUGUUUUAAUUGUUUUUUCAAAUUUUUUAUCGGCUUGUUUGAAAAAUUUCCUUUUCUUUUCCCGUGUUUAAUUUUUCGAUUAAAUCUUUAAGGUCUUCCUUUUUAAAUUUUUACUAUCUUUUAAUUUUUAAUUUUCUUUUGAAAUGCUUCAUUGUAUUUUCUGCUUAAUUCCUAUUUGUUUUAUUUUCUUUAAGAUUUAAUUUUCGAAUUAAACAUUUAGUUUUUUAAUUAAAUGUUUUGUUUUUUUAAA
ensembl:lncRNA